CUAGCUAGAAUACGUAAAAAGAUGUACAGAGUAAACAAGAGAGCGGGAGGUACCAACUCCGGGUGGAAAAACCUGAAAGUAGGCUUUGAUGCGCCCGAGCUCAACUGCUACCGACUCUUGCACAUCCCGGCCGGUGUUGCUUAGCUCCUCACUCCCAAACGCCGCAAACUGGCCUCGCCGCCGCGACUAGUACCUGGGGCAAGUUUUCCUGAAGCUAAUCGGAAU
rnacentral:lncRNA from 1 species